rnacentral:misc_RNA from 1 species
UAAUAAGUGUUUUAUGGCACUUUUUUAAAUCCAUAUCCACCUUGUGUGCAAUGUCGGUCGAUCUUCUUCAUGGAGAUCGACCAAACAUCAACCUUUAUCUUCUAACUCUUUGUCUGAAAAAUAUUAUGAAUAAACAAUUCAAAAUA